rnacentral:rRNA from 1 species
UACGUAGGGCGCAAGCGUUGUCCGGAAUUAUUGGGCGUAAAGAGCUCGUAGGUGGUUUGUCGCGUUGUUCGUGAAAACUCACAGCUCAACUGUGGGCGUGCGGGCGAUACGGGCAGACUAGAGUACUGCAGGGGAGACUGGAAUUCCUGGUGUAGCGGUGGAAUGCGCAGAUAUCAGGAGGAACACCGGUGGCGAAGGCGGUUCUCUGGGCAUUACCUGACGGCUGAGGAGCGAAAGUGUGGGGAGCGAACAGG